rnacentral:lncRNA from 1 species
AUGCUUCUGUUGUCUUCUCACUUAUAUUUUUCUGCCCUGGUGUGGGUUGCUCAUGGCUGUGGUUCCUCAGGUGGGUCUUCUCCAGGCAACAGUCCCUCAGGAAUGUUGCUCCCACAGGAUGGGUUGCCUACAGGCCACAGUCCCUCAGAGAUGCCUCCUUCCAGCACCAGGUCUCUGGCUGUGUCCCCCACACUGUCCCCUCCCUAUGUCUCUGUGAUUUCUCCUGCCCCUAUGGCUACCACUCUCUGUCAGCAGUGCGUCCCUGGCCCCAUGGGGGUCUGGGAGCUGGCUGGAAAUGGCUGUGGCUGGAAUGGGCCACCUACGGUCUCCUCAUGCACAGGCACCUGCCGCCACAGACACUUGACCAUUUUCCUGAAAGGCUGAGGUCUAUGGUAAAUUGACAGCAGCAGACACAGAGAUAUACAGCACCAGGAAUGCAAUCUAUCUCCCAGCUUGGCAAGGCCUUUCAAUGUAUUUCUCAGCAGGGUAAGUCAGUGGGCAUGUUUUCAUAGAAGCUAU